rnacentral:rRNA from 1 species
UGGUGGAGUGAUUUGUCUGGUUAAUUCCGAUAACGAACGAGACUCUGUCCUGCUAAAUAGUUUCCGCGUCUCUUUUGCGCGGAAAAUUACUUCUUAGAGGGACUGGCGGCGUCUAGCCGCACGAGAUUGAGCAAUAACA